rnacentral:rRNA from 1 species
UACAGAGGUCUCAAGCGUUGUUCGGAUUCAUUGGGCGUAAAGGGUGCGUAGGCGGCUCAGUAAGUCAGGCGUGAAACCUCCAGGCUCAACCUGGAGACGCCACCUGAUACUGCUGUGGCUAGAGUCCGGUAGGGGAGCGUGGAAUUCCUGGUGUAGCGGUGAAAUGCGCAGAUAUCAGGAGGAACACCAGCGGCGAAGGCGGCGCUCUGGGCCGGAACUGACGCUGAGGAGCGAAAGCGUGGGGAGCAAACAGG